CUUGAACUUCAAGCUACAGUUCAAUGGAUUUAUGGUGAUCAAAUGUGGGUUCAAUGGUGAAGGAAAAAUGCAGAGUUUGAAAACAUGGAAAAAUUACUGCAACAACAGCCUCGUAAUGUGCUACUGAAUGCAAUGAUAAGUUAAAAAGAUAUUGGCUCCCUGGUGGUCAUUGGGAGAUUUCGUGACUUGGGCACAACAUCUGGGGGCUCGUCCGGGAUCUCCCACCGGCUCCACAGGAAGACCGAUACGGAGAGUCAUCUGCAGCCGGGGCCAGCUUGCCUGCCAAUGGACCAGACCCAGCAGCCGCAACUGGGACCCUUUUGUCCCUGGUCUCCUCCUGACGUGGACAACUGGCCAGAGUGCCCCGACCGUCCCCCGGUCCUGGACGCAGGAAUCUGGUCGAAGGGCCCUGAGCCUGAGCUGAGAAUUGGAGACUGAUCACCUCCUCUUGGCAGAAACCUCGAAUUCUGGUUCUGAUUUCUGGUAGGGCCGAGUUCCAGUCCUCCCUUCUCUGGAGGCCCAGGGAAAAGUCCUGUAACGCCUGGGUAUCUGUAGGUGGCAGGAGACAUCUGUAAGGCCACCUCUUUUGCCCCCCUCUCCUGCCUCCUCCCCCUUCUUCUUUCAACCUGGCUUCCUUUCCUCCCUUGAAAUCUUUGAUGUUAGUACUUAGAUCUGAAGUUCUGUGUCUCUAUAGGAGGUUUUCUGAGAGACAGUAUUUUUGUAUUUAAUGGUUUCCCUGGUGGAACCGAGGUUAAAGCAUCUGCCUGCAAUAUGGGAGACCUGGGUUCAAUCCCUGGGUCGAGAAGAUCCCCUGGAGAAGGAAAUUUUGCUUUGUGUGGCCACCAUGUGGUUUAGACCUGCCGCCAUUUUGUUAGAACUUGAUUUUCUUUCCCUGUGCCUUGAGACCAGGGCUCUCAGGAACACUUAUCUAGACCAUCUCUAACUCCUGACACUGAGGAAAAAGGAAAAAAAAGACGAAGCUAGAUCUUGCACUGUGUCUGUCUAAAUAUGUCUUGGUAAUAUUUUUGUGGUUAAUUUGUAUAUGAGCUCUAUUUAUUUGGCUUUUAAAAAAAGGUGAGCGCUUACAAAUCAAGUAAUUCUAAACUAAACAAUAAAUUCCAGGUUCAUGUGAACUGGGAAAUAUUCAGUGUUAAAUACCUGAUAUUAAUGUUUGUUUGUUGACCUAUCUAAUAUCGACAUGUUAUAAGUUAAAUAUUAUAUCUGUUACAAGUUUGUCAACAAGGAAAUUAGAGUCAACUAGGUCCAAGAUGGCGGAGCUGACUUUCACUAGACCUUGAGCCUUGGUAUUUAGGCCUAUUGUGACAUAUCAACAAGCUAAGUGAUACACCCAUCAACAUUGACUAAAUCUGACCAAAUGUUCUAAACCCC
ensembl:lncRNA